GGAAAGCAGGGAGGGAGGGAUGCAUGGGGAGAACGCUCCAUAAAACAGAGACAGACUGGUCCUGCCCCACGCAUGCUGCCGCAGGAGGGACACCUGGGACCUGUGUCGGGGUGCUAAAGCAUCAGAUACCUCAGGUGAGGUCUCUCCCCCUGCCCCUGCAUCUCGCCUGCGAGCACAGGAAAGCAGCGAGGCCAGUCCGAUGUGGACUCGUACAAGUGUUGGAUGGACGACACAGGCUUCCCCUGAAACUUGACUUUUGACACAGCAGUCAGAAAAACAGAGGCUGAGCUGUGGCCAGCUGAUGGGCUGACUACUCUUGGCCUCGGUGUUUCCUCAAGCAUACAGAAGACUGGCACAUUCUGCUCCUUCUUAGCUAUGCCUGCCUCCUGCCAGGUGCAAUUCAAUGAAGUCAACAAAGAAACCAGGGACAAUGCUGACCCACCCCAGAACUAGCCAUGUGAAGAGGGCUCCCGUUAGGAGGUUGGCAUUAGCCACUAGCGCAGCCCAAUGGCAGGGGCUUGUAGAGCAGAACUGCUGAUGCUGAGGAUCUAGCAUCCACCACGCCACCCAAGUUUGAGUGAACUGCACCUUCUGACUUGGUUUCAUGUGCAACAAAUCCAGUUUGCCUGCUCUCAGAUGGUGCUGGGAUGACAGUGGAAGCAUGGUGAGGACAAUGGGAAGACACACUACAGAAGCACGCUACUGAACCAAGCUAAAUCACCAUCAGAUGCACUCAUCAGCUCCCCUUCUCCAGCUGUAGCUCAGGUCCCAAAGAACUCAUGUCCUGAACAGAUUUUCACAAACUGAUGAGAACCAUCAGAAUAAAGGAAAACGAUGAAGAUGAUUUCUCAGCCUCACCACCAAAGUCACGGAUGCUGUAUGCCCUGUGCACACCCAGUGCUCUGCAGUGAAGCAAGGAGAUGAAUAGGAAAGCAAAAAUCACCCCAAGCUGAACAAUUUGGAAAAGCAGAAGAGGAAAAUGGGAGGGCAUAGAGUUACCGUAAAGGAUGGAGGCAAGGAGUAACAGAGACAGUGAACACCUGCGGAAUUAAAAAAGGAGAGAAACAAACAAGAGAAACGCUGCAGAACGUGUUCUUGAAGAUCCAGGAAUAAAAUAAACAUACUUCUGAGUUUCACAUACUGGUUUGUAACCGAUUUUUGUUGUUUUCGAAGAAACACCCAGCUCAGGACAGUCUGGAUUUGAUUCUCUUUAAAUCUAUGAAGAAAACAAUCCCAAACUACUCUAAAAGCAUUUGUGAACACACUACACCUCUCAAAACCAGACCCAGCAUACCAAAUUCAGGAUUCACAAACACGUAAGCCCCCUCGAAUCAACAGUGACUUUGAUAAAAUACUAGCUUUAUGUGUGUGUCACAGGUCAAAGCCUCUAAAAGCCAAGGUAAUAUUUUACUACACAAUAAAAGAAUAGCUUGAAUAAGUGUACUGAAACCUGCAAAUGGUAGCUGUGAUAUAUACUUUGGCACAGAGUACAGUCAGCAGGUUAGCAGUAAAAGCAAUAAUAAUUAUUUAUGCACAAUGGCAUUGUAGCAGAAUGCCAACAGGUCACUGCAUUCUGUUUUCAACCUCAGAGAAGACAACAGUCAGCUAAACGCUGCACCUCACGGCUUUAAGUUCAAAACAUUAACUAACUUACGCUUUUUACCAAAAUCCUACCCUGCUGCCCCUCAAUCAACAGACAGAACAAACCCAAAUAAUUUACUCAGUAAACCCACAAAAUUGCAAUCAAGUUGUCAAUGUUUCAGCACUAAAGACAAUCAUUCCAGCUUGCAGAACUGACAAACUUGGAGCUAAAUUUUAAGUUAAAAAACCUGAAGUAACUCCUGUCUGAAUUAAUUUUACAAACCGACAUAUAUUACAAAAUUCAAGCAUGCAGGGAAACGUUUUUCCUAAUGGUACUUGAACUUCUCCAUACCUUCCUUUAAAAGAUUUGCCUUUUUCCUUUCUACUAUUCUGAAUUGAGUUAGGCAGCAGAAAGAGAUACAUAAUACUAAUUAAAUGGUCAUGAAAUGUGGAUUAUCACCUGAUUUGAAUUUCUCACUAAUCAUAUAUAAAAAUAUCGAAGAACACUUUAGAUGCAAGAAUGUACAACACUUUACUCUCUGAGAAUGGACAGACACCAAGGAUCAGUGACGUGAAAAGAUGCCAGGGACCUCAUUUUAAUGUAGGUAUACUUCAUUUUGGAGAUCUUUAACUGCUGGCAAGUAUUUGCUGGAAGAUAACCCUUUGUGAAGGAUGGACUCUACUUGCCUGGGAAUUGGUGUUCUGGGAUGGAGACUGAGCUAUAAGGAAAUGAGGUCUCAUUUAGAAAAGCUCCAUUCCUGACUCAGUUCAGGGCAUCUUGGCACCACGAGGUACCAUAUGACUCAUAACUCUGUGGUGAACCAUUUUCAACAUGACCCUGGCAGCCUCACAAGGGGAUAAGUCCAUGGGAUACUAGAAUCACAAAUAAAAUGUGAGGUAGAUUUAUGAAAAAUAAUAAACAAAUGAAUCAAUACAAAACACCCACAGGAGAAACAACUCAGCUGAAUUUCAAUAAAGACAUCUUACGAUACCAUACUGUUAAAAAUAAACUUGUCAACAAA